CGGGUGAGUAACACGUAAGUAAUCUACCCUCGAGUGGGGAAUAACGUCCGGAAACGGACGCUAAUACCGCAUAAUGCAGCGGCAUCAUAAGAUGACAGUUGUUAAAGAUUUAUCGCUUGAAGAGGAGCUUGCGGCAGAUUAGCUAGUUGGUAAGGUAACGGCUUACCAAGGCUACGAUCUGUAACCGGUCUAAGAGGACGGUCGGUCACACUGACACUGAAUAACGGGUCAG
rnacentral:rRNA from 1 species